CAAUCUACAACAUUUUAUUAAUCAGAUAUGACUGAAAAUCAGCACUUCGACGAUAUGUAUUCGAAUCAAGACUACGACAGUCAAUCAGCCCUUCGAGGUGAGAGUAAUCCAAUGUUUCCGGAUACCAGCUCUCACGCUCAGUAUCAGGAACCUAACCAUCUACAGGAGGCCAAGCAUAUAGAGGACAUCCGUUUGGGUAUCCUGCAAAAACGAAUUCAGAUGGGCCUAGGUCAUAUCAACCUACAGACUUUAUGGCGGCUUAGCGGUCCUCAAAAGCUAAGUCCUGAAGAAGAACAAAAGCGUAGACAGAGGCGGGAGCGCAAUCGUCAGGCAGCAGCUAGAUGCAGAGAAAGACGACGCCAGCGAGCCUACGUUUUGGUUCAGGAAACUGAGGAUCUUGAGAAUAGCAACGAUGAUUUGAAAAAGGAGAUUGAAGCGUUGGAGCAACAACGAUUGCAAUUAACGAAAGUGUUGAACGAGCACCGGCCGACAUGUGAAAUGCAAAUUGGAAUGAUGGGAGCCGAGACUACUGCGCAGUCGCAGUCGAGUAUUCCCUGUUCAAUGGAAACUGAACUUAGAUCGUCUUGUAUAGUGGAGACAGCCUCGCUUUGGCCCCCAUCGUCCAUGUAACUCUAAUAAUCACACACAUAAUCAUAUGGUCCUGACUCAUAAUAUUGUAACAAUGAUUAAUAUCUACAGAAGCCUCCUAUACAUUUCUACAACUUAUUGUACCUAUAUUUCUUCAUUUUUACAUCUCUGGAGAAAUAAGGUCAUUUAUUAUUUGUUAUAUGCAGGGGUACCAGGGGCGAAAGUAGCACUGAUCGAGAUAACCAUACCCGGGUCCGGGUGACCUUUUGGGUGAUAAUUUUUAUCUUUUUCUUUUUCUUUUUCUUUUCCUUUUUUUUUUUUUGAACUUUCCAAAAGGGUGCCGGGGCCGGCCCGCCCCCUCUAAAUCCGUCCUGCAUAUUUUGUAUACAUCCUCAUUCGUCCUUCUACUAAGCCUGGUUCCAAGAAUCGCCUUCAGAAUAUACGCUAAGUAUAACAGGCCUAUCACGUGGGACGACUAAUCAAUGAGAUAUUACAAGUGUUCACGGAGUUAACUCCAAGCUAUUUACAAUACAUGCCAACAAUAUAGGGAUACAUGUUUAUUUGAGUUUUAAAUACAUAUGUGCAAUGAGAGACACGGGCAGGCCUGCGUCAGACACUUCAGUUAUACCUCUCAGUAGUAUGAUUAACGCCAAAGGAGAUAUGUAUACUUUAAUGAAUUCAAUAAGAAAAUAUAAACAAUAUGUACAAUUGUAAUUGAUGCAUUGCAUAAUUAUUGAAAAUAGUCCAAGUCUCGUACACUUUUUAUUUUCCAUGAUAUUACACAAGUACUAUGAAGGCAUCGUUAAAACAUAUCUGGGUAUAUGUUUCUAUUAUGAAUUUGUCGUUUUCAUACCAAGUGUUUUGGUUUCGUAAAACAACAUAACCUUGAAGAAACUUGUUUAUAAACUUUAAGAACAUAAUCAUGAGGUAUGCUUGGCAGUUGAGAAUAGGCGUAUCUAUUACGUUUUAACUAGUUAAUAUUACUAUGGAUGAUUUUAACAUUGUACCGUUGAAAUGUUAGAGUAAACGCAUUAAGCCUGUUUUCCAUAAAAGCGCUACACGCUAUCGCCGAUAGUUUUCGGGGACGCUGAUUGGUCGGGCGAAUCGGGGAGCCGAUUGCAUCGGGGGCAGCUACGCAGUGUACAGAUUGCCGUGAUUGUAGUGUGAAUGUAAGCGAUUUUAUGUACGCGUUGUGCUGAGUACGACAGUCCAUAAUAACAUUUGUCCUAGGAGUUGGCCUUUAGUUUUAAAGUAACCAGAUUUAACUACUCAUACGGAAUUUUAAAAUGUCCGGUUAUAGAGUCAGUUUUCCAUGAAUAGGCCUAUUAUUUUACGGGUUACUGAUGAAUAUGAUAAAUGCCGAUAUGGGAAUAUCGGGAAGGAUACGGGUGUGAAAGCCACAUUUUAUAAAUAAUAUAUCACGCACAUUGUACACAAUUUUAUAAUAAUAUUUUUACAUUAAUUUUUUAUAUUACAAUACGUGCAGGACACGGUAUUUUUUGCAAAUGUAGAAAUAAUUGAUACGUUUAUAUAUUUAUGAUAACAAUAAAUAACAUUGACUUACUGGUUGAGUUAUAUGAUAUGUAUAAUAUUAUAUUGAAACAGUUUGAAUAAUAAAUAAAUAUAAAUUCUUAAAAA
rnacentral:misc_RNA from 1 species